GUUCCUGUAGUUAAAUUUUUAUUAACGGCGGUUUUUCAGACCGUAGGUCUCGGAGAAAAGCCGAGUAGGAAUU
rnacentral:tRNA from 1 species